AUUGAACGCUGGCGGCAUGCCUUACACAUGCAAGUCGAACGGUAACAGGUCUUCGGAUGCUGACGAGUGGCGAACGGGUGAGUAAUACAUCGGAACGUGCCCGAUCGUGGGGGAUAACGCAGCGAAAGCUGUGCUAAUACCGCAUACGAUCUACGGAUGAAAGCGGGGGAUCGCAAGACCUCGCGCGGACGGAGCGGCCGAUGGCAGAUUAGGUAGUUGGUGGGAAAAAAGCCUACCACGCCGACGAUCUGUAGCUGGUCUGAGAGGACGACCAGCCACACUGGGACUGAGACACGGCCCAGACUCCUACGGGAGGCAGCAGUGGGGAAUUUUGGACAAUGGGCGAAAGCCUGAUCCAGCCACGCCGCGUGCAGGAUGAAGGCCUUCGGGUUGUAAACUGCUUUUGUACGGAACGAAAAAGUUCUCUCUAAUACAGGGGGCGAAUGACGGUACCGUAAGAAUAAGCACCGGCUAACUACGUGCCAGCAGCCGCCGUAAUAC
rnacentral:rRNA from 1 species